AACGAACGCUGUCGGCAGGCUUAACACAUGCAAGUCGAGCGCCCCGCAAGGAGAGCGGCAGACGGGGGAGUAACGGGUGGGAACGUACCCUUUGCUACGGAAUAGCUCCGGGAAACUGGAUUUAAUACCAUAUGUGCCGUACGUGGCAAAGUUUUAUCGGGGAGCGAUAGGCACGUGUUAGAAUAGCUAGGUGUUGGGGUAAUGGCCUACCAAGGCGAUGAUCCAUAGCGGGUCUGAGAGGAUGCUCAGCAACAUUGGGCCUGAGACACGGCCCAACAUCAUCCGGGAGGCAGAAGCGGGGAAUAUUAGACCAUGGGCGCAAGCCUGAUCUCGUCAUGCCGCGUGAGUGAUGAAGGCCUUAGGGUUGUAAAGCUCUUUCACCGGAGAAGAUAAUGACGGUAUCCGGAGAAGAAGCCCCGGCUAACUUCGUGCCAGCCGCCGCAGUAACAC
rnacentral:rRNA from 1 species